rnacentral:rRNA from 1 species
GACGAACCGUACAAACGUUAUUCGGAAUUACUGGGCUUAAAGGGUUUGUAGGCGGCCUUGUAAGCCAGGUGUGAAAUCCCUCGGCUCAACCGAGGAAUGGCGCUUGAUACUGCAAGGCUUGAGGGAGACAGGGGUAAGCGGAACUGAUGGUGGAGCGGUGAAAUGCGUUGAUAUCAUCAGGAACACCGGUGGCGAAAGCGGCUUACUGGGUCUCUUCUGACGCUGAGGAACGAAAGCUAGGGGAGCGAACGGG